UACGUAGGGUGCAAGCGUUGUCCGGAAUUAUUGGGCGUAAAGAGCUCGUAGGCGGUCUGUCGCGUCUGCUGUGAAAACUCAGGGCUUAACCCUGAGCUUGCAGUGGGUACGGGCAGACUAGAGUGCGGUAGGGGAGACUGGAAUUCCUGGUGUAGCGGUGAAAUGCGCAGAUAUCAGGAGGAACACCGGUGGCGAAGGCGGGUCUCUGGGCCGUAACUGAACGC
rnacentral:rRNA from 1 species